AGGACGAACGCUGGCGGCGUGCCUAACACAUGCAAGUCGAACGAGGUCCAUCCGGUAGCAAUACUGGUGAAGAUCAAGUGGCGAACGGGUGAGUAGCACGUGAGCAACCUGCCCCGAAGACCGGGACAACACCGGGAAACCGGUGCUAAUACCGGAUAUCCCCACCGAGUCGCAUGGCUUGGUGAGGAAAUGGAUUCCGCUUCGGGAGGGGCUCGCGGCCUAUCAGCUUGUUGGUGAGGUAAUGGCUCACCAAGGCUUCGACGGGUAGCUGGUCUGAGAGGACGAUCAGCCACACUGGGACUGAGACACGGCCCAGACUCCUACGGAAGGCAGCAGUGGGGAAUCUUGCACAAUGGGCGAAAGCCUGAUGCAGCAACGCCGCGUGAGGGACGAAGGCUUUCUGAGUUGUAAACCUCUUUCAGCAGGGACGAUUGUGACGGUACCUGCAGAAGAAGCCCGGCAACUACGCGCCAGCAGCCGCGGUAAU
rnacentral:rRNA from 1 species